rnacentral:lncRNA from 1 species
CUGAGACCAACACAUUACUUGAGCAAUUAAUUAAAACUCUCAACACUAAACAAAUUGAGACCUGUUACUUAAGCAAUUACUUGAGAGCCUUCCCAAAUUGUCAACCACAAGGCCCACAACUCUUAUAAUAAUUUGUCUUGUUGAACUCCACUUGAUCCAAAAGCUUUAAUUGACAAGUCUUUGACAAUGUCAACGCACAUGUUAUCCUAACAAAUCUCCCCUUCACAUGUGAGUCCAACAUCAACGAACUGCUCCCCUUGAUUGUCAACAUACUUUUAGCACUAAACACACACCGAGGCUAGCACAUAACUUGAAAACUCUCGCUACUCAACAAGUUGAUGCCUGCUCAUUAAUGGUGAGUUCUGAUAUCAUUUUAUUGAGGAGCCUUGGUAAUGAAUGUCCUAAUACACUUGUUGAACUCAACAUGAAAAAAAAAAAAACCUUAAUUCAAUAUGUAGUUUAAUCACAAUUCACAGUAGGCACUAUAUUGAUCAAGUGACGAGGAAAAUGAGCAUGAAUCUCUAACCUAAAAUUGGAAAGAAUGUCAAUAAGUCGUAACAGCUUUCUUGAGAAAAACGGCUCUUGUAAGACCUCCAUACAGGUCAACUCAGCUUUGGUGCC